rnacentral:rRNA from 1 species
GAUGAACGCUGGCGGCGUGCCUAAUACAUGCAAGUCGAGCGAACGGACGAGAAGCUUGCUUUUCUGAUGUUAGCGGCGGACGGGUGGGUAACACGUGGAUAACCUACCUAUAAGACUGGGAUAACUACGGGAAACCGGAGCUAAUACCGGAUCAUAUUUUGAACCGCAUGGAUCAAAAGUGAAAGACGGUCUUGCCGUCACUUAUAGAUGGAUCCGCGCUGCAUUAGCUAGUUGGUAAGGUAACGGCUUACCAAGGCAACGAUGCAUAGCCGACCUGAGAGGGUGAUCGGCCACACUGGAACUGAGACACGGUCCAGACUCCUACGGGAGGCAGCAGUAGGGAAUCUUCCGCAAUGGGCGAAAGCCUGACGGAGCAACGCCGCGUGAGUGAUGAAGGUCUUCGGAUCGUAAAACUCUGUUAUUAGGGAAGAACAUAUGUGUAAGUAACUGUGCACAUCUUGACGGUACCUAAUCAGAAAGCCACGGCUAACUACGUG